UCCGCCCGGGUACUACGAGCAAAAGCUUAAAACCCAAAGGACUUGGCGGUGCUUUAGACCCACCUAGAGGAGCCUGUUCUAGAACCGAUAACCCCCGUUAAACCUCACCUUUUCUUGUUAAUUCCGCCUAUAUACCGCCGUCGUCAGCUUACCCUGUAAAGGAAACUUAGUAAACAAAAUUGGCUUAGCCCAAAACGUCAGGUCGAGGUGUAGCGAAUGAAAAGGGAAGAAAUGGGCUACAUUUCCUAACUCAGGAAAUAACGAAAUACGUAAUGAAACAGAGUAUGAAGGAGGAUUUAGCAGUAAAUAGAAAAUAGAG
rnacentral:rRNA from 1 species